CGGGUGAGUAAUGCGUGACCAACCUGCCCCAUGCUCCAGAAUAGCUCUUGGAAACGGGUGGUAAUGCUGGAUGCUCCAACUUGACGCAUGUCUUGUUGGGAAAGUGUUUAGUGGCAUGGGAUGGGGUCGCGUCCUAUCAGCUUGUAGGCGGGGUAAUGGCCCACCUUGGCUUCGACGGGUAGCCGGCCUGAGAGGGCGGACGGCCACAUUGGGACUGAGAUACGGCCCAGACUCCUACGGGAGGCAGCAGAC
rnacentral:rRNA from 1 species